rnacentral:rRNA from 1 species
UAGGGAAUCUUCCGCAAUGGGCGAAAGCCUGACGGAGCAACGCCGCGUGAGUGAUGAAGGUCUUCGGAUCGUAAAACUCUGUUAUUAGGGAAGAACAAAUGUGUAAGUAACUAUGCACGUCUUGACGGUACCUAAUUAGAAAGCCACGGCUAACUACGUGCCAGCAGCCGCGGUAAUACGUAGGUGGCAAGCGUUAUCCGGAAUUAUUGGGCGUAAAGCGCGCGUAGGCGGUUUUUUAAGUCUGAUGUGAAAGCCCACGGCUCAACCGUGGAGGGUCAUUGGAAACUGGAAAACUUGAGUGCAGAAGAGGAAAGUGGAAUUCCAUGUGUAGCGGUGAAAUGCGCAGAGAUAUGGAGGAACACCAGUGGCGAAGGCGACUUUCUGGUCUGUAACUGACGCUGAUGUGCGAAAGCGUGGGGAUCAAACAGG